rnacentral:lncRNA from 1 species
UCAUGCGACCAUCUCAUCUGUGGUCUGUCCCUUCCUCUUUUGUAGUAGAAAAGACGGAAGAAUUACGUCUUACAAACGAUCCAUAAAACAUGAAUUGGGUUGAAUAAAACAAGUUAUUUUAAAAAGUACAAAAAAUUUAUUUAUAAGAUAAAAUCUCUAUUUACAAUGUAUACAAGGAUAAACCGAACCCAUCACAAAGAUGAUUAAACAUAAAAUAUGUAAUACGAAAUCUUUAAGCCGGCUACACACAGUGGCGGAUCCAUGACCCCCCGCCCAGAAAAUAAAUAUCAAUUCAAUAAUCCUAAAAAACCGAGAGCCGUCAAACAAAAAAUUGUUAGGCCCAUCCAAAAAAUAAUUGAAAACCCACUUAUCCUAGGAGUGGUAAGUCUAAUGACCUUGCAUCAGAGAAAAGUAAUUAAAUCAUCCUCAAGAACCUAGGAAAGUAGCUAGCAUGCCAGUAGCUCGAAUGGCUUUACUAGCAAGGCGAAAAAGCAGGGUAGAUUUUUAAACAUGCUAGUGCUAGUAAACAAUCGAGUGGUUUUCAUUUGAAACUUAUAUAGUAUUUGUUUUGUAAUUAAAAGUUUUUGAGUUUCUAACAAAAAAGGCGAUCCACAGAAGGUAUUCGGAGUGAACUAAACUAUUGGCAUGGAUAAUUAUUGUUAGAAAUUUAAUAAUAAAUCAGACCCAUUUCUCUUGAGUUUUGGUGAAUUUCAAAUACACUCUAAUUACAAAGCUAUAAAUAGAAAUGAAUUUGAUGAUUUUUUCAUCACCUCAACGAAACAUUUUUUUAAAACAAGUCUAAAAUAAAAACAAUUAAUCUUUAGCUCCAAAAUAACAAAAAUCAAAUUCUUUGCGAUUAGCUAGCAUGCCACUUAACGUACACGCUUGACAGUUUGGGGACAGUAGCUGGUGCUUGCUAGGUACUGGUAUGCCAGUGUGCUAGUAACAGGCAUGUGUAUAUCCGGCUUUAUGUUUAAAGUACUAGACGUUAA